rnacentral:rRNA from 1 species
AGGACGAACGCUGGCGGCGUGCCUAAUACAUGCAAGUCGAGCGGAACCAUUGGAGCUUGCUCCUUUGGUUUAGCGGCGGACGGGUGAGUAACACGUGGGCAACCUGCCCUGCAGAUCGGGAUAACUCCGGGAAACCGGUGCUAAUACCGAAUAGUUUGCGGCCUCUCAUGAGGCUGCACGGAAAGACGGUUUCGGCUGUCACUGCAGGAUGGGCCCGCGGCGCAUUAGCUAGUUGGUGAGGUAACGGCUCACCAAGGCCACGAUGCGUAGCCGACCUGAGAGGGUGAUCGGCCACACUGGGACUGAGACACGGCCCAGACUCCUACGGGAGGCAGCAGUAGGGAAUCUUCCGCAAUGGACGAAAGUCUGACGGAGCAACGCCGCGUGAGUGAAGAAGGUUUUCGGAUCGUAAAACUCUGUUGUGAGGGAAGAACAAGUACCAAGUAACUACUGGUACCUUGACGGUACCUCACCAGAAAGCCACGGCUAACUACGUGCCAGCAGCCGCGGUAAUACGUAGGUGGCAAGCGUUGUCCGGAAUUAUUGGGCGUAAAGCGCGCAGGCGGUCCUUUAAGUCUGAUGUGAAAGCCCACGGCUCAACCGUGGAGGGUCAUUGGAAACUGGGGGACUUGAGUGCAGAAGAGGAAAGUGGAAUUCCACGUGUAGCGGUGAAAUGCGUAGAGAUGUGGAGG